GUUCCGCAGCUGCCGAUCCUCCGCCUGGCUCAGUUUGGAGCGAUACUCCUGCAGGAGGCGCAGGGCGCGCUGCGUAUCUACGGCCGAACACGAGACUCUGUGAGCACUACACAGCACUUCAAAGCCCACGUGCACAUCGCGUGUCCCGCAGGCAGAGCUGGGAGUCAGAGCCCAUCCCGCUGCUGCCGUUCCCCAUCCCAGGCUGCAUCUCCUGUUGGUUUUUCGGAUACAGACUCGGCUUGGGAACAUCCCCGUGGAAGGGAAGAACCUCCUGGGAAUGGACGUGGGUUUGAUAGUCAAAAACCAGCGCUGAGUUCGGCUGUGGAACACGCCUAAAGGAAACGGACCCAGCACAGAGCUCUGCUCUGAUCCAGCCCCGUUCAUCCCUCAGCUUUCUGCCAUGGAAGAGCCCGUGUAGAUCUGUGAAGAAAACAACGUGCAUUCAGUGUGUUUUACCAAUUUAUGGGAACUUUACCAAUUCCCGUAGCAUCAGGGAUCUGGCACUCUCUGGUACAAGUCCACAUAUCUUAUAAUGAGACCAUAUUAAGUGAGGAUGGACAUUGGCUUCAUGUGUUUACAACAACACUGAACGUACUUUAAAAGUGUCCAUAUUCCCCGUGGUGUCAGAGUUGUACAUGUACAUGAGGAGAAGAGCAGCCCAGAUUGAGCCAGCAGAAAGGAGAUAUCCACGCAGUGAGGUUGGUUUGUUGUCUGACAAAAACAUUUAUUACAGAGCGAAAAAUGAAUAAACACUUGCAAUUAAA